rnacentral:lncRNA from 1 species
GACCUUGCAAGCUGAGCUGGCUCCACUGGGCCACUGGGGGCCGCUGGCUUCUGUCUCUUCACAAGCCUAUGUCUACUGGAGGAGUCCCCAGAACAUGCCUGCAGAAGCUGCCAGGCCCUUCUACCUAUCAGGCUUGCAACUGUCACUGUGGUACCUUCCAAGUCAUCUUCUGGCAACGUAUGGAGGCUCUCACCUGUCAUCUCAGCGCCCUGAAAAGCUGGAAGAUCACAAGUCCAGCCAAGCCUGGGCAACUGAGGAAAAUGUCUCAAAAGUUAAAAAUAAGGCCGGGGAUUUAGCUCAGCGUCAUUAAGUGCCU